rnacentral:rRNA from 1 species
GACGAACGCUGGCGGCGUGCUUAACACAUGCAAGUCGAGCGGUAAGGCCCUUUCGGGGGUACACGAGCGGCGAACGGGUGAGUAACACGUGGGCGACCUGCCCUCAGCUCUGGGAUAAGCCUGGGAAACCGGGUCUAAUACCGGAUAUGACUCCAUGACGCAUGUUGUGGGGUGGAAAGCCUUGUGCGGCUGAGGAUGGGCCCGCGGCCUAUCAGCUUGUUGGUGGGGUGANGGCCUACCAAGGCGACGACGGGUAGCCGGCCUGAGAGGGCGACCGGCCACACUGGGACUGAGACACGGCCCAGACUCCUACGGGAGGCAGCAGUGGGGAAUCUUGCGCAAUGGGCGAAAGCCUGACGCAGCGACGCCGCGUGAGGGAUGACGGCCU